rnacentral:rRNA from 1 species
AUUGAACGCUGGCGGCGUGCUUUACACAUGCAAGUCGAACGGUAGCGCGGGCUUCGGCUUGGCGGCGAGUGGCGAAGGGGUGUGUAAUGGAACGGAACGGGCACGGGUGUGGGGGAUAGCUCGGCGAAGGGGGGAGUAGUAGGGCAUACGACCUGAGGGUGAAAGAGGGUGACCGUAAGGACGAGCGGUAUUGGAGCGGGCGAUGGCGGAUUGGCUAGUUGGUGGGGUAAAGGCUUACCGAGGCGAAGAUCGGUAGCUGGUCAGAGAGGAAGGCCACCCACACCGGCACGGAGGCACGGCCCACACUCCUGCGAGAGGGACCAGUGCCAAACUUUGGACAAUGGGGGCAACCCUGAACCAGCCAUGCCGCGUGCGAGACGAAGGCCUCCGGGUUGUAAACCUCUUUUGUUCGUGGAGAAAUCCUCUGGGCUAAUACCCCGAGAGAAUGACGGUACCGGAAGAAUAAGCACCGGCUAACUACGUG